rnacentral:tRNA from 1 species
GGGGUGGUGGCUCAGUGGUAGAGCGCUUGCCUAGCAUGUGUGAGGCACUGGGUUCAAUUCUCAGCACCUCA